UUUUGGGGUUAUGGUCCCAAUAGUUUAGGAAUUAGGGGCCAAAAAGGGGGCCCAAAAUAAGCAUUUUUGUAGUUUUCAAACAAUAACUUGUGUUUAAGUGUAUGAAUCUCUCUGAAAUUAUACUACAAGUUUCCAUACCAUUAAGGGAUGGUUAGUAAUGACUUUGGGGGGUUACGACUCAAAAUGUUUUGGAAUUAAGGGCCAAAAAA
rnacentral:lncRNA from 1 species